rfam:Triticum aestivum genome assembly, contig: Triticum_aestivum_CS42_TGACv1_scaffold_320337_4BL
UGUGUACUCCCUCCGUUCCAAAAUACUUGACUUCCAUUUAUCCAAAAAUGGAUGUACCUAUAUACUAAAACAUGUCUAGAUACAUAUAUAUUUUGACAAAUAGAAGGCAUGUAUUGUGUAAUGGAGGGAGUAGAAU